rnacentral:rRNA from 1 species
AGUAGACCGCCUGGGGAGUACGGCCGCAAGGUUAAAACUCAAAUGAAUUGACGGGGGCCCGCACAAGCGGUGGAGCAUGUGGUUUAAUUCGACGCAACGCGAAGAACCUUACCUGGCCUUGACAUGCAGAGAACUUUCCAGAGAUGGAUUGGUGCCUUCGGGAACUAUGACACAGGUGCUGCAUGGCCGUCGUCAGCUCGUGUCGUGAGAUGUUGGGUUAAGUCCCGUAACGAGCGCAACCCCUAUCCCUAGUUGCUAGCAGUUCGGCUGAGAACUCUAGGGAGACUGCCGGUGACAAACCGGAGGAAGGUGGGGAUGACGUCAGGUCAUCAUGGCCCUUACGGCCAGGGCUACACACGUGCUACAAUGGUGCGUACAGAGGGCUGCAAACCCGCGAGGGGGAGCUAAUCUCACAAAACGCAUCGUAGUCCGGAUCGGAGUCUGCAACUCGACUCCGUGAAGUCGGAAUCGCUAGUAAUCGCGAAUCAGAAUGUCGCGGUGAAUACGUUCCCGGGCCUUGUACACACCGCCCGUCACACCAUGGGAGCGGAUUGCACCAGAAGUGGUUAGUCUAACCUUCGGGAGGACGAU